UACGGGGGGGGCAAGCGUUGUUCGGAAUUACUGGGCGUAAAGGGCGCGUAGGCGGCCAUCUAAGUCAGACGUGAAAUCCCCCGGCUUAACCUGGGAACUGCGUCUGAUACUGGACGGCUUGAGUAUGGGAGAGGGAUGUAGAAUUCCAGGUGUAGCGGUGAAAUGCGUAGAUAUCUGGAGGAAUACCGGUGGCGAAGGCGGCAUCCUGGACCAUUACUGACGCUGAGGCGCGAAAGCUAGGGGAGCAAACGGGG
rnacentral:rRNA from 1 species